rnacentral:lncRNA from 1 species
ACCUGCCAUCUGCAAUGUAUACAUUGUUCUAUAUGUUAUAUGUUGGAUUAAAAGAACAUUGUGCAAUCAGCAGAAUUCUAAACACAUUGUGUCAUGCAUUUAAAUAGCAUUGUAGCGAAUAUUAACUUGGGGUGGAAAGCAGGCUCCUUUUAGGGCAYGCAGAGCUCUUUCUCUUGAAGGGAGGAGACCAGCCUCAUCCCUGCUGAGGAGCUGUGUGUCAUCUCCAGCCUGCACGACACGRUACCUUCCCACGGGGACCCGGACCAUGGCACGACAGCUAGUCCUCAGCGCUGGGACCCAGCCUUCCCACCAGCAAGGUGCAUCGGCUGUCCCGUUCCCAAGGAAUAUGCGUGGUGACAKUGGCCAGUUUGAGGUACGUGAAGACAAUUUUUGCAGGAGCUACCACAUCCUCACCAUUUGCACUGGAUGAAACUUGAGGAGCUUCUUCCCCAAACUCUGCAGCGCCUACUGGGAAAGCCCGUCAGUGAGUCAUGAGAUGACAUAAACUGGCUUCUGUCGUGCAAACAGAGGUAAGCAAAGGGUUAGUGU